rnacentral:rRNA from 1 species
AUUGAACGCUGGCGGAAUGCUUUACACAUGCAAGUCGAACGGCAGCACGGGGGCAGCCCUGGUGGCGAGUGGCGAACGGGUGAGUAAUACAUCGGAACGUGCCCGGUCGUGGGGGAUAACGUAGCGAAAGUUACGCUAAUACCGCAUACGAUCUGAGGAUGAAAGCGGGGGACCUUCGGGCCUCGCGCGAUCGGAGCGGCCGAUGUCAGAUUAGGUAGUUGGUGGGGUAAAGGCCUACCAAGCCGACGAUCUGUAGCUGGUCUGAGAGGACGACCAGCCACACUGGGACUGAGACACGGCCCAGGCUCCUACGGGAGGCAGCAGUGGGGAAUGUUGGACAAUGGGCGCAAGCCUGAUCCAGCCAUUCCGCGUGCAGGACGAAGGCCUUCGGGUUGUAAACUGCUUUUGUACGGAGCGAAAAGGCUCUGGCUAAUACCUGGGGCUCAUGACGGUACCGUAAGAAUAAGCACCGGCUAACUACGUG